UGUGCGUGUGAGUGCGCGCGCGCAAGUGAGCGGCGAGGCGGGAGGCGGCGCGGCUGGGGGAGCAGUCUCUGGGUGGGGGUGGGGCUCUGCUGGGCGGCCGCUCCCAUUCCCGUCCCCGCAGCUCGAGAGGUGAGCUCAGCCGGGUGUGGGGGAAGAGCCAGGGUGGUAUCCCGCACCCCAGCGCAAGGCGGAGCAGGGCCGACGGCCUGGGCAGCGCCAAUGGCCAGCGCGCGGGUCCGGGCAGGCUAGCGGGAAGGCGCCGCUCGCCGCGCCGGGUCACGUGGCGCGGUCACGUGGCGCGCAGCCGGACCGGCGGCGGCCGAGGGAGGCGGAGACUUGCCAGAGACGCGGGGGGAGGAGGCGGCGGUGCGGGGCUGCUGGAGGCGGAGGCGGAGAGGAGAGGAGAGCUGCGGGGCCGCUGCCACGGCCGCCCAGGAGAUUUGUAAGAUUCCAAGGCCUUCAAGCCAAGAUCAGCCUGAUGGUUCCUGAAAUAACUGGGAAAACAAAUGCUUCAAGUGCCAGUUGAAGAUUGUGUCUAUGUAUAUUCGAAACCUUCUUUCUAUAUAUACGCAUUUACAUGAGAAGACAGGCUCAUUCUUGUGCACAUUUGGGAGUUUUUCAACUGAUGAAAAUUAAUUUAAGAAUCAGAUGGAGCAACUUGACACUUCUGGGCGCAGGAGCCCAGGGAGAAAAGUAUAUCACUAAUGGCCAAUUUUCCAUAUGGCCUUCAUGGGUAAAGAGAAUUUGCAAAAAGAAGAAAAAAAUUUGCAUAGAUUAAGCCUCAAAAAUACCUCUCCAGUUUAAAGAAGGAAAUAAAUGAGAAGGUGAUCACAGAAGUGUGAAUUCAACAUUGCAGGUGGGAUCAUGCAGUGUUUUUUCACUUUAUUUUUUAUUAGGUUUAAUGAUUUGGACAGAGUUUAAAAUUCUGGACUGAAAAGUAACUUACUGUGGUUGUUACUGAAGGAAAGCAAGUUCAGGUGUGAUGGGACAAGUCUGAACAUUGAACUGAUUCCAUCACUUUGCCUUUUUCAGUUAACUGUAUUUGAGGAUUUUAAUUUAUUAUUUUCCUUUUCUGCACCUGUAGGAUAAUAUCUUAAAAUAGCAAUUGGAACCAAUAAUUACAAAAGUAAACAUCAAGGAAAACCCAAGCAAAGCUUCCUUUUGCCUGGAUGAAAGGCUGUGGAAACAAGCUCUGAAUGGGAACAAGAAGGUGCCCAUUGGCACAGUGACUCUAGGGAAAUGGUGCAAUCCUGGGGACUCUGAUACUAGCUUGGGUGUAUGGUUAGAGGGAUUGUCAGCUGUGUUGAGUCUAAGAACACUUGCAUAUGAGAAGAUUUGGACUUAAUGCUGAGAUUAUUUUUUUCAUUGAAAUGAAAAAGCACAUGAGCUUUAGGAAUAGAAAAGAGGAGAAGUAACUGGAAAGUGAGAAAGAGUCCAGCAAAAGAAACAAGAGUGUUACUCUGUUAGUCAGCAGAAUUAGGAUUACCUUAAGGCAAAUACUUGGUCUGCUUUAAUAGCUUUUUUCUCUGCCUCUGCUGACCUUGCUUUUUAGCCCCUAUGGCACUGAGGGGUCUGCUGGCUGGCAGAGGAAUUGUCCCAGGGAACCCUGCGUUCCUCGGGGACACAGGGCCCAGCAUUAAGAUAGGAAAUUUCUGGUUCUGAACAGUGAGGAAGAGUGUUUUUCUUCCUAAAAUU
ensembl:lncRNA